GAUUGACGCGCUAAAGCAACUGACUCAAAAGGAGCUGACUGAUUUCUUUGAUGAAUAUAUUAAAGUCGGUGUUCCUCGGAAGAAGGCCUUAAGUGUCAGAGUCUAUGGAAGCUCACAUUCUUCUCAAUUCCAAGCACAUAAGAAUGAGCAGAUGGAACCAAAUGCAGUUCAGAUAGAAGAAAUAUUUAGCUUUAGACGAUCUCGGCCUCUUUAUAGUUCAUUCAAAGGAGGCUUUGGUCAUGUGAGAUUGUAAGAGGUAAGCAUAGCUGCUCGAGAAGCUCCCCGAUACAGUUGAUAUGUUGGCGAGUCCAUUACUGGAGCAGUUGAUCUGCAAAUUACCUCUCUCGUAUUCAGUUGUGUCAAUUUGUCAGUUGUACGAGGGCUCGUGGUAGACAUGUGAGUUGAAUUGCUCAACUGAUUUGAUGAUGGACUGCUUAGAGAUUUGGAGAAGUAAAUGUAGACUGUGACAUUAAUUUCUGUUUUGAUUGCUGAAUAUAAUUGAUCAGAAGACAAGAAGUGACAUGAAUGAAACCUGAAAGGGAAAUUAUUCAUUCAUUGAUUUGAUGGGAUGAAUAAACUACAAUAUAAUUCAGUUUUUUUUGUGACUUAAAUCUUCUUGAUGUUACUAGUGUAUUAGGCAAACUUAUCAGGUGAUCUUUUUCUAUAUGUCCAAAUUUUAAUGGAUAGAAUUAUUUGGUAUUUGUGUUGAUGGGAGGUAGUAGGUGCCUCAUAGAAUUAGUCGGAAGUGUACAAGCUGGUUCGAGCACUACAGUUAUUAAAAAAAGUUGUUUGAUAGAUAUUCAUAUGUGAUGUUAGCUUUAUGAGAUUAUAAAGAUAAACAUGUAAUUGAGUAUUUUCUCUUUUUUCAUGAUGGUAGUAUUUAGAUUAGUUUACGUGCAUUUCACUGAGUCCUCCAUUUAGUGGCAAAAUCAGAAUUAUCACCGAGAGAGUCAAAAUAUGAAGAAGUAAAUAUAUCAAAAAACUAAAAAAGUUCAACAUCCAUCAUAUGUACGCAUAAAAAAUAAUUUAAACUACACAUAAAUAGUAUAAUAUUUUGUUGAUUAACCACCCCCUUCGGCCUUACCUUGCUCCACCUUGUCUCUACCUCCCACCAACAUAUGUAUUAAGUAAAUGCCCAAUCUUUAAUCUUUCAUAUAUAGUAGUCUUCAAAGCCUAUUUAGCUUCACCCUUGCCUCUACCUUCCACCAACAUACAUAACAAGUAACUUUAUUAAAAUUUAUAAGGAAAAAGGGUCAAAAAUCCCCUUAAACUAUGUGAAAGGGACAAAAAUGUCAUUCGUUUAUAGUUUGACUUAAAAAUGCCCUUGUAAUCAAUAUUUUGGUUCAAAAAUGUCCUUGCAAUCAAUACUUUGGUCCAGAAAUGUCCCUAUAGUUACUAAAUGGGUCAAAAAUGCCUUUUCGAAUAAAUAUAUUAUUUUUUUUCUUUUUAAAUAUAUCUUCUUCCUAAUUAACAUAUUAUAAAAGAACAUUGUUCUUGUUUUUUUUAAAAAAAAAUCACUUUAAACAAAUAAAAAUGUAGGAUUUUUUUUUCUUAAUCUCAUUUUAUCAAUUAAAAUAGAAUAACUUCAUCUACCCUUUCGACAGAUAAUAUAUGUCAUGUAUAUAAGAUCGUUGUAUAUCCAUCAUAAAAAAUAAUUAUAAUAAAACAAGAAAUAUUUUCAUUUUUUAUUUUUUUUUCUGAAUUGAAGUAAGAUAAAUAUUUGCUAAUUUAAAAAAUAUUAUUAGAAAAAGAAUGUAUUAAAAAAGAAAAUAAAUUAUAUUAUUUUAUUUGGAAAAUAAGCAAUUUUGACUUAUUAAAUAACAAUAAGGACAUUUUUGGAUCAGAGUAUUGACGACAAGGACAUUUUUGGACCAAACUACAAACGAAAGACAUAUUUGUUCCUUUCGCAUAGUUUAAGGACAUUUUGACCCUUUUCCCUUUCAUAAAUAAUAUAAUUUGUUAUCGAUAAAACCCCUUCAACCUUAUUUAGCUCCACCUAUCCCAACCUCUCACCAACAUAUUACCAAGUAAUUCUAUCCAUUCUUUUUCUUUUUUCUUUAUUGAGAGGAUGACUUGCCUAAGGAAUUGAAAAUUGAGGGAUGACUUUUCACCCUCAUGGACCACACACUAUAGUAACCUUUUUUGUCAAAUUUUGCUACUUAUCACAUUCCUAGACCAAAUGCCAAGUCUUCUAUUACUUGAUUAAAAAGUCAAGCAUUUAGUGGUUAAUAAAGUGAAUUAAAAUAUCGUAAAAUUUUGGGUUUAAAUUUAACAAACACAACAAUAUUAUGCGAUUUUUUUAAUUUGUUUUAGAUGCAAUUAGUUGUUGCCGAUGAAAGGUGACCCGUGGAAUUAGACGAGAAAUAUAAAAUAAAAUAAAAAAAACAAGAUGACUAGGCAUAGACUUGGACCCCUGUCAAUUUCCCUCCUUGAGGACAUUAUUCAACAUUUGCAGGCUAAGUUUGCACACUUUAACAUGCAAGACUAAACAAGUCUCACUCUAUCAGUAUUACGAAAAUUUUCUCUGUAACUGCAGAUUUUAUUAAUCCAAGUUGAAAUUUUGAACAUACCCUUUACUUUCUUUUGCUGUAUUUCAGUGAUUCUUGAAAUACCCAUUUCAGAUUUUGGACUUAAAUCGUGUUUUUUGAGCUAUUGAGAUUUGGGGUUGUUUAAUUUUGCGAGAAAAUGGCUGUGGGCAAAGCAAAUGAACCUGUAGAGAUCUUUAAGGCUCGUUCAGAUAAGAGGGAGUAUAGAAGAAUAGUUCUGCAGAACUCUCUUGAAGUUCUACUAAUCAGUGAUCCUGAAACAGACAAG
rnacentral:lncRNA from 1 species